rnacentral:lncRNA from 1 species
CCCUCAGCCUCUAAAGACACACUAAAGCACAUUUACUCUCUCUCACUCAGGUUCUCAGUGCCUCAGUCCAGAUUGCUGCGUCAGACCUCACCGCCCCUUUCCAUUCAAACCAACUUUAAGCCACACUUCUGAGCGUGUGAGCCAGCAUUUCAUCCACAGUCUGCUGUGCACUUUCAGGAGCCUCUUAAUUUGUUAAAGUUUCAGCUGGAGAAAAGUGACCAACAGUGACCAUGAUGAGGAUCAUACUACUGCUGCUGCUGGUCACCCUGACGGGGCCUUUCUGUACCUUUACCCAAGCAAGUACUCUGGUGGUGCCAACAGCUAUUGAUUCAACUCCAGAACCAAAUCUUGCAUCAGAUCCGCCUGCUUUCACAGACAAAACAGAGGAACCAGCUCCUCAAGAUGCUGUUUCAACGUCAGAGCCUGCUCCUGAGGCUACAGAAGCAGCUGCCUCGACAGAAGAAGUGCCAGUGGUUUCCACAGCAGCACCAGUGAUACAGUCAGAAGCCCCAUUAGAAACAACAGCCCCAACAGAUACAGCACAAUCAACAGAAGCUGGACCUAAAGAGACGAUCGGCCCUGAAGCCACUACUGUCAUUGCAGGGGCAAGAGCAGAAGAAACUGAGAAAGCUGAAGACACAGAAUCAGAGACUGAAGAUGUAGAGGUGGAGAAUGAAGGUAUGGGCACAGGACAGUUGGUGGGGAUCGUAAUCGGUGCAUUGAUCGCAGUGAUUGUUGUCAUUGCUGUAAUCAUCUUGGUGGUCAGAAGAAUGGGCCAAUACUCCCCUUGAAAAGAAAGGCACGAGAGGAAGAGAAGAAGAAGAAAUCCGGGAAGUUCUGAACUAUUGUUCUGAUGUUAACAACAAUGCAAGCAGCACUCUCAACAUCCAUCCAGGACUAUACGGGGAGCAGGAGAGUGUCCCAUCCCCUUUCCCAUUGAAAAAGAUGCCCUCCCACAAAAACACCUUCUCAAUGCCCACGAGUCUCAUUAUUUAGCCUGAAAAGCCUUAUUUAUCCCAACAGUGGGAGGCCACAGGAAGUUACAGUAUCUUUUUUUAAUGCAUAUUAAUGUAACAGGAGAUUAAUGAAUGUUGAAUUUGUACAACAAACAAACAAACAGCUGCCCAUGCAAGCAAAAGCUUGUAUGUUUUUAUUCCACUGAGUGAAAAUUUCAUGCAGAAAACAACUAAUCCAAAAUCAUUAUUCUUUUCCCCAUUCUACAGAUGUGUCCAAUAGGACUAUGACGCAUUAUGAACAGUCUAUGAACUGUCAUAAGCAGAUGCUGAGGACACAUUCUGUCCUCAAGAUGUGUAAGCGGCAUUAACUAAUAAAUGUUUUUUAAAUUAUUAGUUAAGGGGAGCAGCACACAAUAAGUGCUUGAGAUUUACUCGUUUGAAGUGCAUUAAUAUGGAGUAACUUGACGGUGUUGUUCUUAACUGUCACCCAUUCCAAAAGUGACAUCACUUCCUCUGGAAUGCAUCAUUUAUUGUGUGUUCCAGUCCGCUUAGCUCUAGCGCACAGCUGCUAUUGGCAUGUAUCUCUAAAAUCCUGAUGUUCCUCAGCCUGGACUACUUCAUUUUAACAGCAUAGACAUUUUGCAUGCUAUAGUUGAGUUGUUUGCAUUUCUUUUUGUCAGUGAUGGGGUUUGUGUUUCUUUCUGACGUUCGAGAGCGUUGCUAUCCUGGGCUUUGCUUUAAGAGAUCAGUAUUAGGUGCACUGAAUGAUGAAGAAUAAAUGUUGACAAGACACUGCAGUUGUUUGCAACGAUAUUUUGUGUUUUUUGCUUGCCAGAUUCCUCUUUAUUUCCCGUUACUCCAUGAUCUCAUUUUGCAAUUUGAUGUGAUAUCAGAAUCCACUUAAAGCCGAGAGUUUGUCUUUGUGUUUUGGGGGUGAUGUUUUUUCUUUUUUUCUUAUUGUUCAAUCAGUUUCAAUAAAAAAGUUCCAAAGUAUGUUGCGCUGCCAUAUUGUGUUGUUGUGGAUCCCAGAUAACAUUGUCUGUUUAUCUGUGUUUACUUUUUAGCCCCUUUUACUCAGCAUUCCAGCUUUUCACACACAUUUACGCCCAUUCACUGUCUCUUUCUCACACAAACAC